rfam:Octopus bimaculoides Scaffold95779_contig_24, whole genome shotgun sequence.
GGUUCCGUGGUGUAGUGGUUAUCACGUCUGUUUCACACACAGAAUGUCGCGAGUUCGAUCCUCGUCGGAACCU